rnacentral:rRNA from 1 species
GGAGUUAGCCGGUGCUUCUUCUGUGAGUGAUGUCCUUCCUGCCGGCUAUUAACCCGCAGGCCUUCUUCCUCACUGAAAGUGCUUUACAACCCGAAGGCCUUCUUCACACACGCGGCAUGGCUGGAUCAGGGUUGCCCCCAUUGUCCAAUAUUCCCCACUGCUGCCUCCCGUAGGAGUCUGGGCCGUGUCUCAGUCCCAGUGUGGCUGAUCAUCCUCUCAGACCAGCUACGGAUCGUCGCCUUGGUGAGCCGUUACCUCACCAACCAGCUAAUCCGACAUAGGCUCAUCCGAUAGCGCGAGGCCCGAAGGUCCCCCGCUUUCCCCCGUAGGGCGUAUGCGGUAUUAGCCUGGGUUUCCCCAGGGUUUAUCCCCCACUACCGGGCAGAUUCCUAUGCAUUACUCACCCGUCCGCCGCUCGCCACCAGGGAGCAAGCUCCCCGUGCUGCCGCUCGACUUGCAUGUGUUAGGCCUGCCGCCAGCGUUCAAUCUGAACCAAGAUCAAAUUCUGA